rnacentral:lncRNA from 1 species
CCGGGCCCGGGACCGCAGCACGGGAGCGCCGCUGCAGCCGCUGUGCGCCGGAGCUGUCCGGGCAGCACCGAGACGGAACCGCGGCACGACGGGAGUGGUGCUGAGGACAGCAGCGCCGGAGCCGGAAGGGAGGGAGAGCGGCACCGGGACAGGGAAAAACACCUGCGCGGCCAUAACCCACCUCCCUGUGCGGAAUGGAGGAAUCUGGCCAGAGCUGUGCCCCUGCUUGCCACAGGAGCUGCGCGGGAGGAGAAGAAUGUGGGCCAAAAGAUUUGUUUUGCUUGCAGGUGUUCCACUUUGGCUUUGUAUGACACAGUGGACGAGAGGGUACGGCGUUCAGUGGAACAAACACUGCAGACCCUGGGGAGAAUCAAAGCAGGAGAGAGGAAAUGUGCCCUUUGCAGCAGGGGCCCUUGUGCUGGCAUUACCCAUCGCAUCCACUGCUGCUGUGGUCCUUUCUUUCCUUUGGGCAGUUUGCUGUCUCUCAAGGUGUUGUCUACAAUAGGUGCUUGUUUGUGUAUCCGUGUGAGGC